rnacentral:rRNA from 1 species
AGUCGNACGCAGUAGCAAUACUGAGUGGCAGACGGGUGAGUAACAUGUGGGAAUCUGCCUUGUGGUUCAGGACAACAUUGGGAAACCGAUGCUAAUACUGGAUAAGCCCUUACGGGGAAAGUUUUAAUGCCAUAAGAUGAGCCCGCAUUUGAUUAGUUAGUUGGUGAGGUAAUGGCUCACCAAGACAAUGAUCAAUAGCUGAUCUGAGAGGAUGAUCAGCCACACUGGGACUGAGACACGGCCCAGACUCCUACGGGAGGCAGCAGCGGGGAAUCUUGCACAAUGGAGGAAACUCUGAUGCAGCGAUGCCGCGUGAGUGAAGAAGGCCUUUGGGUUGUAAAGCUCUUUUGUAGGGGAAGAUAAUGACUGUACCCUAAGAAUAAGGUCCGGCUAACUUCGUGCCAGCAGCCGCGGUAAUACGAAGGGACCUAGCGUAGUUCGGAAUUACUGGGCGUAAAGCGCGCGUAGGCCGUUGAGUUAGUUAAUUGUGAAAUCCCAAAGCUUAACUUUGGAACUGCAAUUAAAACUGCUCGACUAGAGUUUGAUAGAGGAAAGCGGAAUACAUAGUGUAGAGGUGAAAUUCGUAGAUAUUAUGUAGAACACCAGUUGCGAAGGCGGCUUUCUGGAUCAACACUGACGCUGAGGCGCGAAAGUAUGGGUAGCAAAGAGGAUUAGAUACCCUCGUAGUCCAUACCAUNNCGAUGAUUGCUAGAUGUUGGAAAUUUAUUUUCAGUAUCGCAGCUAACGCAUUAAGCAAUCCGCCUGGGGAGUACGACCGCAAGGUUAAAACUCAAAUGAAUUGACGGGGACCCGCACAAGCGGUGGAGCAUGUGGUUUAAUUCGAAGAUACGCGCAGAANCCUUACCAACCCUUGACNUGUCUGUCGCGAGUUUAGGAAACUAGANUUUUCGGNUUCGGCCGGACAGAA